UACAUGGGGUGCAAACGUUGCUCGGAAUCAUUGGGCGUAAAGCGCGCGUAGGCGGUUGCUUAAGUCGGAUGUGAAAGCCCUCGGCUUAACUGAGGAAGUGCAUCCGAAACUGAGCAGCUAGAGUACGAAAGAGGGUCGCGGAAUUCCCGGUGUAGAGGUGAAAUUCGUAGAUAUCGGGAGGAACACCAAUGGCGAAGGCAGCUCGCUGGGACGGUACUGACGCUGAGACGCGAAAGCGUGGGGAGCAAACAGG
rnacentral:rRNA from 1 species